AUGCAAUCUUUGCCUAGGAAUCUUCCUGCACAGAUUUAUGAGGAGUCCAAGAUGAAUUUGGAGCAGGAGAGGCCGUUUGUCUGCAGUGCCCCAGGCUGCUCCCAGGUGAGUGUGGGGGGUCCUCUGCUCUGCCGGCAGGGGACGCAGUACCUUCCCACAGGGAGGCACCUCUCACUUGGCCAUCAUGCCUGCUGCGGGCUUUCCUUCUUAUACCAGGAUAUUCUCACCACCGCCACCACCAUCAUUAUCAUUUUCCACUUUGAAUACUUUGAACUACUUCCCGCCCAGCCUCUGCGAUACAUUGGUGUUGGCCAUUUCCCCCCAUAACUUUCCCCGGGAAGUAAGCCAGCCGAAUCCUGCCCACCAGAUGUUCAGGAUUGAUAUUUCAGACUAGGGGAAAGAGGGUGCCUGCUUUGACAAUAGCCACUUAAAUUCUGGGCCAUUGGAUUACUGGUGAAAUAGCUCACCGGCAGAGACUGAAUUCGAUUUCGUUUUGUUUUCCCACUUGAGUAAAAUAAAACUCCUAGACUGUACUAGAACCCACAGUUUUUCCACUUAUCUUUAAGAGAUGAAGUUGGCCUACUGUGCUGGAUUAACCCUCUUUUGGCUUCCAGUGGUUCCUAUCAAGUGGAUUAGAUGUGAGACUUAGAUGAAGUUCUAUGUGCAGAGUGUUAAUAAAGGACCAGCACAUUGUGCUCAAUUAAGAUCCACUGUUGCUAUGACGACUGCGGCUAUUCGUAUAUGAGAACCCCUGUCUUUGAAAGAAAUUGGAAACAUCCAUGAUCUAAAAUCAGAGUUUGGCAUUUUCCCUUUGGAACUUGAUGGAGACUUUUUCUACCCUUGACCCUUUGGAUAUCUCCAAGUUCUAGUCAUUGGAAAAUGACUACACGUGGUGCUCUCAUGCCAAGAUCUUCGUUUUAUGGGAUAAACAGCAAGCUUAGAACUCAGAGCACAGGCAUGUGGGUAGUUAUGCUCUCCUUCUCUAAAGUGCCCAGUAGUUUCAAGUGGAAUCAGGCCCCAUAUUUUUGUCUGUUUAUAUUGUGGGGUUGGUGGCACAGCGUGGAACUAUGUCUGUGAGUCAAUGAGAGGCGAUGUCCAUUAAGGACCCUUUCAUUUUAUCUCCCCAGAGAGUGUGAGGAGGGUUCUGGAAGCUUCCUGGGGGGAAGAUGCCAUGGGAACAUGAGAUGUUACUGCCCUGUGAUGCUGCUGGUGACAUCAGACCCUGGCUAAGAAACCAGCAUCCCUUGCUUGGAUUCUAGUAGAUUCUGCAAGGGCUUUCUAUGAAUGCUGGUUUUCACUCUACAAAUAAGGAAAGCAGCGGAGAAAAUUAUUUUGAAAUUCAACUACUUAGGGCUGGUUUUGGAGGUCCCUUUGAAAUAGGAAACA
rnacentral:lncRNA from 1 species